UACGUAGGGUGCGAGCGUUGUCCGGAAUUACUGGGCGUAAAGAGCUCGUAGGUGGUUUGUCGCGUUGUUCGUGAAAACUCACAACUCAAUUGUGGGCGUGCGGGCGAUACGGGCAGACUGGAGUACUGCAGGGGAGACUGGAAUUCCUGGUGUAGCGGUGGAAUGCGCAGAUAUCAGGAGGAAUACCUAUGGCGAAAGCAGGUAUCUGGGCCAUCACUGACGCUGAGCUGCGAAAGCUAGGGGAGCAAACAGG
rnacentral:rRNA from 1 species